AGGGCUGCCUGAAUCAACUGUGCUCUUCUACUUUGCUGGCCUGGAAGCACACUGGAUUGUGUUUUGAAGGUCCAGAAAUCAUCUCAUCAACCUCCCUUCACAGUUAUUGCCUACAAAUGCUAGCAGGCAGUGCCUGAGAUGCCAGAGGGCAGAUUGCUCAGCAGAAGGACAACCUGGAUUUGGCCACAUCAGCCAAAGGCUGCUCCUUUGCCUCAUGUUCAUAAGCAAACCCAUCUAGCUGGUGGCUGAAGAGCUUUGGCCAUGGACUGUCCUCCCCACCCCCAGUGCCCCAAGGCAGCUACAAUUCCCUGGAGAAAUCACAGAAUCACAGCAUUGUAAGGGUUGCAAGGGAUGUCUGCAGAUCAUCUAGUCCAGUCCCCUGCUAAAGCAGGUUUCCUACAGAUGCAAUUAAAUGGCACAGAAGAUAUUGCAAGCAGACCAUCUUAGGGAACAAGAUGGUGCAUGGACUCUUAAAUGUCCAACAUGGAUGUUGAUUGGCACAACACUCAGUGUGGCUCUAGCUCUGCCACUGCUUCUCCCUCACUUAGCUUGGAUAAGCAGAAACAACAAGCUCCAAAAGAGCACUAUGCUAAAGUACUUAAAUCAGUACCUAAUAUAGUAAAUUAAAUCCACCAAAUGCACUAAAAUACAAAAUUUCCAGAAAGCCAUGAACCUCAGGGCUUUUCUCCUCAAGCUGAGGGAUGUGCCAUUGUCUGUUUGGAGAGUUGGAGAGGUAAACUUUGUGCAGGAUGGCCAGCACAAAACCAAAUAUGUUAGCAGCCAUCAUUAAUUUGAGAGACUGGGCCAACAAAGCAGGAAUGUAAAGCAGAAAUGGAUGACAACUUCAAUAACAGAUGAAGUCAACUUGGGACAAGUUCAUCUUCGGUAAAUCCAAACAUCGUGGAAUGGAUUUGGAUUAUGUCACUACCCAAAGAGCACUGACCUAGAAAGCUGCUAUGUUGUAUCUGUUUCCUGAGAUGCUGCCACAGAGAGCAGACACCAGAAGAUGAUGCUGCCCAGCAAGGAAAGACUGAAAGAACUCCUUUACACCAGCAAUGUCCUAUCUCACCAUACUCAUCUCUGGAUUGUGGCUGCAACUGUAUACAGUAUGAAUAUACUACCUUAAACAAAAUAAGAGCCCCCUAAAUCUGCAGUAGAUUUUUAUCUACACAAAAAUUCCACAUAAUUUUUUUUCCACCUUUUCAGUUCUUUGUAGGCCUAUGCUUUUCCUGCUGCCUGUAAACUGAGGGCUAUUUCCAGAGAGCCGUGAGCUAGUCAGGUAAACAACUGCUACUAGGCAAUAGUAGUGUGCUCAGCAGAAAGCCUGUCCUGAUUUACUGCCUCCCUCAAGUAGUUAGGUUAAAUAACAGUGGUGGAAAUCAGCUAUUCCUGGAGCAGAUGAUUCUUCUGUUUAUCACAUUAUGUUGCAGACAACUUUAUAUCACGCAGCUGCUCUGUGCAUAUGUUCCUACUACAGUUUUAAGGGGGAUACUGUUAUCACUAUGCAGUUGGAACUUCUGCUAAAAUAAAAACAUGUGUGG
rnacentral:lncRNA from 7 species